rnacentral:lncRNA from 1 species
CCACUGUUACUGAUAAAGCAUACACUAUUCACUCAUCACACGCGACAUCAUGUACAGUGCUACUUGUCCUUGGGCACUAUUGUAUAAAGUGACCCAGGAAAGGCACUUUCUUGAAGAAGAGGUCACACCCUUGGCCAAGGGGACACACACCCACACACUCAUAUACAGCCACAAUACUCAAUCGGCCACAAGGCCAUUCAUGCCACACUCACACUCACCCACACUCACUCACAUAUGAAGCCGAGUAGAAGAUAAGUGUAGCCGGCUUCCCGACUCAUCCGAAUACAGCUUAAGGAGUGCUCUGUACUGCAAAAUAUAUUUCACAUAUAUUUAGACAUGCAAGAGUAAGAGUAUUAUCUCUUCGGAGAACUCCAAACCUGGGUAAAUCACCGCGUGCUAUUUGCCAAAUCCCGUCCCUUGAUCUUCAAAGCAAUCUUGCCCUCACCUCAAGCCACCCCGUGGCAUCCGUCGUCUCACGAACCCGCCCGCGAGAUAACCACGACAGUUGGCGCCCACCGUGGCUCAAGCUGCCACGGAACCGCGGUCCGGGCGGAACCAUCGUUGUCAUCAUCAACGCGGCAUCGUGCCGUCUCUCCGGUAGCGCUCGGGGGCUCGACAUCGACCCGCCCCCGGAGCAACCUCACGGGACGGCGCGCCCUCGGCGUCGGUGUUGCCUUCUUCGUCGCCACCACCGCGGCAUCGCCGUCGUCCGUGCAUCCGCGCGCCACAUCUCGCUCCAGUUGUUCCGGCAGCACGCCGCCGCUCCUCCGCCCGGCUGUUCACUGAGCCCCUUCUGCUCCGCCCCGUCACGGCCGGCGGCGCCUGGUUCGUCGUCGGAAACCUCAGUAUCUCGCGCUCGCUCCAGCCCGCGAUGCUUACGCUCGUCUUCCUCCUAUUGCUCCCAGCUCACCCUCCUACCCGAGUACCCAUGCUGCAGCUGCCCUCACGCAGUUACAUGCUAGCCAGACAAAAGCCAAAAACCAUUGCCAUACACUUCCCUGAUGUGGCCGUACACUCCUCGUACACAAGUCAGAUAUUGGCAAUGCUUUGCCCGUGCAUUGGCCAGGCAGUGGCCGUACAAUCAUCCUUGCACUCCACCGCGUGCAGCAAUCGUCAUGCUCCCUGCAUUGGCACUGCUCCUCACCGCUCGCCGCUCCAGCUACCUCGCAGGCCAACUCCGACGCCCACGCAUCGCCGGCUCCUCGCGCCCGGAGCCGUGUCUAGCUCUGGCUCCGCAUCGCUCCACCUCCAUGCAGCUGCGCCGCCGCCGCCUGCUGCUCCUACUGCCUGCCGCUGUACCCGCUGCAAAUAUUCCAUCUCGUCGUGCUUGAACGACGCCCAUGCAUCCCCUCGUACAAGUUUGGCGCAGCACCGCGUCGCCUCCCGCCGCUCCCGCUGGCCGCGCCUAGCGCGCUUUUGCGGCCGGCUGCGCCGCUCCCCGCCGCCUCUCCGCGUCGACAGUUUCACCCUCGCCAGCUGGCUCCAGGGCCCCGCCGCUGUCUGCCUCCCGCGCGCGGCCCUGUCAGCACCGCGCUCGCGUCGGUCCCCCUCCUGCGCGCCGAUUUAAGGCCGCCUUCCUGUCGCCGCCCUCUCCGCCAGUCGGCUCUGCCUCCACCCGGCCACGCUGCCGCAAUGCCCGCUAAGCCGGCUGCGGCUCUCCACGCCGGCAAGGCCACGCCCCGGCGAGCCCCCCACGUCGCUGCGCCUAGCCGCCGGGUCACCGCGCCCGGCUCUCUCCGGCUCCGCGUCCCGCGUCGGCCGGGUCGCCGCUGCCGCCUCCCGUGCGCGGGUCGCCCUCCGGCUCCGCUCCGAGCAACUUUGCCCCUCCCGCGCCGGCCGGGUUGCCACUGCCACCUCCCACGCCAUCUGGCCUCGUCCGCACCUCGCCGGCAUCUCCUCCGACCCCGGCUGGCCGCCGGCCGGCCCCGUCCGCGCACGCCAGGUCCCCUGCUUCGGCUCGCCGACGGCCCGUCCUGCCCGCUCGUCGGGUCCUCCGCUCCGCCUGCUCGCGACGCGACCGGCCUCCGCCCGCGUCGGCCCCAGAUCCGCCUCCCGCCCGCACGCCGAGCCGGCUCGCCGGCGUCAGGCGUCCCGCCCCGUCCGGCGUCCCGCAAGCCGGCUCUGCCCGCUACCCGGCGUCCGCGCACCCGGCCCCCAUGCGCGCCCUCGCGCAGCGCCGCUCAUCCGCCGGCGUCGGCCGGAUCCUCGGCUCCACCGCGGCCGGGCCGGCUUCCCAUCCCAUCUCGGCGCUGCCUCCCUCGGCCGGCCCCGUCCCUGGCUCCUGCGGCCGCGUCACGCCCACCGGCUCCGGCUCCCCACAUGGCCGGGUCUGCACGCUCGCCGGCUCCGGCAUCCCCGCAGUCGGCUCGCCGCCAGCAGGCCCCGCGCAUGAGCGCUCGCUCCCCUGCUUCGCUUCGACCGAGUCCCGCUCUGAAGAAAGAAACAGAGAAAAACGAAGUUGAACCCGGCCGUGCCAAAAAAAGAAAGAAAGAAAAAAAUGACGGCUUAGUUCGCUCGCCCGCGUCAUCGCCUGCCGACGCCUGGUCGGCUGGCGAGCCGACCUGGCUGCCCGUCCGCCUCGACGCCUACCCGGCUGGUGGGCCGACCCGACUACAUGUCCGCUUCAACGCGUGGCCAGUCGGGCCCGACCGGCUGGGGCACCCCUCGAGCCACCCGGAGGCUCGGAGGCUACACCCAGUGGGAGGGACCCACCCGCUGUCAUCAACAACCUCUAUCUCGUCCACACGAAAAUCAAUGUGAGCUUCUGACCCGCAUACUUUCACACCAUGUGCAAACACGAAUACCCGAGAGACAUUUGGGACCACCUUCGCCUUUAUUACAGUUGCACUACUGUUCGCCCCGGCGCCAGCUAGUCUCGACCCGGAGGCUGGCCGCUCAGCCCGACACGUUUAUUCCCGCAGACGGCUUUGUAGCGCACACAGUACCGAAGGCCCACUCUCAGCCACAGACCGCAGCGCGGCUGUCCGGCAAGCGAGACCAAAAGCUGGAGGUCACCCCACACGAAAAAUGUCCGGGAGAAGACGGCUUGGGCAACCCGGCCGUUUCUUUUAUGAGUAUCUACUUGGUCAAAUCCGCUCUUGUACUCCGAGUAUUGUACGCUCCACUCCGCGGCCACUCUUCAUAACAGCUACAGACCGGCUUCGGGCUGUCUAGCUAACAAGAGGCAAAGCCAAAGAGUAGAGGGGACAUGAAAAAGACUGAAGGGGGCUCGGACGAAACCGAUUCGGCACCCUCUACAUAAAACUUGCAAUGCUAAAUGCAAACAUUUUGAUAUAUCUGCGCGGACUAACAAUUUCUUUCGCACGAUCAUCGCCGUGGGGAACCCCCACCUCGCCCGAAGGCUCGGAGGCUACACGCGGGUUGCAGGCCCAACGCCGGCUGUAACCGGCGUUUCCGACGCCACCGUCGACUUCAUCAACAAUAGAAAGACCCUUCGCCCAACUUUUCCAAGUUGCGCGGAGGCUCGGAGGCUACACCCAGUAGGUGCGCUCGCACGCCCCCACUCAGCCGACAGACUCCGCGUUUGCGACCGGCAGGGCCCCCCGCCCUCCAGCCGGUGGAACCCGCGUCCGCGCCCGGCACCCUCGACGUCACUGUUGGUUUCAUCAACAACAGCGAAGACCCUCCGCCCAACUUUUCCAAAGUUCCCCAGAGGCUAGACCCAGUGGGUGCGCUCGCACGCCCCCACUCAGCCGACGGACUCCGCGUACGCGUCCGGCAGGGCCCCGCGUCCUCCAGCCGGCGGACUCCGCGUUCGCACUCGGCACCCUCGACGUCACCGUCGGCUUCAUCAUCAACAUCAAGACCCUCCGUGCAACUUUUCCAAGUUGCCCAGAGGCUCGGAGGCUACACCCAGUGGGUGUGCUCUCGCGCACCCACUCGGAACACGCCGCGCUUGUUGCACGCCCGUCGCCGGCUGCAACCGGCAUCUUCAACGCCAUCUACUACAUCGACGCCCGCUAAAACCCUCCGCGCAACUUUUCUAAGUUGCCCGGAGGCUCGGAGGCUACUGUCGGGGGGAUGACCCCCAGGUAGGCCCAAGACGGCAAACGAUGCUUAAAAAACAUCAGAGCCAGCAACGCCCCUCAAUCCGGCUCACACUUGGCCGGGUUGCUCAACCCGGCCAAGUCCCUCAACCCGGCCGGACUCCUCAACCCGGCCGCCCGACCGGGUCCCUGUGCGGCUGCUCCAGCCGGCCUGUUAUGCGAAGUCAACCGCGACAUCACAUCCAACGCGACACCGAUAAGACGGCCAUACCGCAACCACUAUUACUGAUAAAGCAUACACUAUUCACUCGUCACACGCGACAUAAUGUACAGUGCUACUUGUCCCUGGGCACUAUUGCAUAAAGUGACCCAGGAAAGGCACUUUCUUGGAGAAGAGGUCACACCCUUGGCAAGAAGACGUUGCCUUGGCCAAGGGGACACGCACCCACACACUCAUAUACAGCCACAACACUCAUUCGGCCACAAGGCCAUUCAUGCCACACUCACACUCAUCCACACUCACUCACAUAUGAGGCCGAGUAGAAGAUAAGUGUAGCCGGCUUCCCGAUUCUUCCGGAUACAGCUUAAGAAGCACUCUGUACUGUAACAUAUAUUCCACAGAUAUUAAGACAUGCAGGAGUAGGAGUAUUAUCUCUUCGGAGAGCUCUGAACCUGGGUAAAUCACCGCG